rnacentral:misc_RNA from 1 species
AAGUCGUAACAAGGUUUCCGUAGGUGAACCCGCGGAAGGAUCAUUAACACGUAUCCAAACGUUAAAACCCCCCCCCGUAAACCUUCGUCCUGCUCUUGUAACCCGCGUAGUUCGCAAUCUCUGAUAAAUCAUAGCCCGGAAAGUUGUAGUGAUUCAGAGACCUCUGGCUACGUGCGAACAUUGGAACACUUACAGCGCUUCUACAAUUCCUGUAGACCGUACACUCGGGCAGGAGCUUUGCCAAAGGGUCCCCAUGCCCCCUAAUAACCCCACAGUUUAAUGUGAAGCUCAAUGUAAUACAUUGGGUAAAAAAACCGAACAACUGUUAACAAUGGAUAUCUUGGUUCUC